rnacentral:rRNA from 1 species
GAAAAAUAACGAUACGGGACUCAUCCGAGGCCCCGUAAUCGGAAUGAGUACACUUUAAAUCCUUUAACGAGUAUCCAUUGGAGGGCAAGUCUGGUGCCAGCAGCCGCGGUAAUUCCAGCUCCAAUAGCGUAUAUUAAAGUUGUUGCGGUUAAAAAGCUCGUAGUUGGACUUGUGUCCCACGCUGUCGGUUCACCGCCCGUCGGUGUCUAACUGACAUGUAUCGUGGGACGUCCUGCCGGUGGUGGCGAGUCGAAAGAUCGCGCUCCCGCGGUUCAUACCGUGGGUCGGUUGCGGUUCGUAGACGGACCCCGAUGAAAUCCUACCGCGGUGCUCUUAAACGAGUGUCGAGGUGGGCCGGCACGUUUACUUUGAACAAAUUAGAGUGCUUAAAGCAGGCCUGAUGCGCCUGAAUACUGUGUGCAUGGAAUAAUGGAAUAGGACCUCGGUUCUAUUUUGUUGGUUUUCGGAACCCGAGGUAAUGAUUAAUAGGGACAGUCGGGGGCAUUCGUAUUGCGACGUUAGAGGUGAAAUUCUUGGAUCGUCGCAAGACGGACCGAAGCGAAAGCAUUUGCCAAGUAUGUUUUCAUUAAUCAAGAACGAAAGUUAGAGGUUCGAAGGCGAUCAGAUACCGCCCUAGUUCUAACCAUAAACGAUGCCAGCUAGCGAUCCGCCGAAGUUCCUCCGAUGACUCGGCGGGCAGCUCCCGGGAAACCAAAGCUUUUGGGUUCCGGGGGAAGUAUGGUUGCAAAGCUGAAACUUAAAGGAAUUGACGGAAGGGCACCACCAGGAGUGGAGCCUGCGGCUUAAUUUGACUCAACACGGGAAACCUCACCAGGCCCGGACACUGGAAGGAUUGACAGAUUGAGAGCUCUUUCUUGAUUCAGUGGGUGGUGGUGCAUGGCCGUUCUUAGUUGGUGGAGCGAUUUGUCUGGUUAAUUCCGAUAACGAACGAGACUCUAGCCUGCUAAAUAGUCGCAUCCGGUAU